rnacentral:antisense_RNA from 1 species
UCGCACAUUUGUAGUCUGAUUAUGAUUUUGGCGAAUCCAUUUGAUCAUAUGACACGAUGUGUAUCUC